rnacentral:rRNA from 1 species
UUAACGCUAGCGGCAGGCAUAAUACAUGCAAGUUGAACGGGAUAAGCUGUAGCAAUAUGGCUUUGAGAGUAGCGCACGGGUGCGUAACACGUAUGCAACCUGCCCUUUACUGGGGAAUAGCCUCUCGAAAGAGAGAUUAAUACCCCAUAACAUAUUUAGUAGGCAUCUAUUGAAUAUUAAAGCUACGGCGGUAAAGGAUGGGCAUGCGGCUGAUUAGGUAGUUGGUGAGGUAAUGGCUCACCAAGCCAACGAUCAGUAGGGGGUCUGAGAGGAUGUCCCCCCACACUGGUACUGAGACACGGACCAGACUCCUACGGGAGGCAGCAGUAGGGAAUAUUGGACAAUGGGGGCAACCCUGAUCCAGCCAUGCCGCGUGCAGGAUGAAGGCCCUAUGGGUCGUAAACUGCUUUUGUACGGGAAGAAACCUCACUACGUGUAGUGAGUUGACGGUACCGUGAGAAUAAGGAUCGGCUAACUUCGUGC